CAACAUUCUGCAACGUGGAUGUACAUCGAUGAUUGCAAGAAUCAUGAAGCAAGCGAUAUGGCAAAAACACCUAAUCACUAUCUGGAACACAAUCUUAAAAUAGAGACAGGAUGCAUUUGGAAUUGCAAUCACGAAAGCAUAUUUUUCUACCUUGUGAUACUUCUCGGAAAAUGUCGUUGUGGAAAGUGACGUUGAAAUUCAACUACCAUUUUGCGAGGUAGUGGAGCACUGAUGAAGGCAACCAUUAUAAUACUAUGAAUAACUGCCAACCUUUUGCUCCUGCCUUAACCUGGACGGCGGAACAGUACGUAUUCUUCACUUGUACGUACUCUGAGCGAACAAAGAAAUGAGGAAAAUGGAUUAAUGGCUAAUAUAAACACCUUCAGCUGACUAUUUCCAACUGAGUAUAUUUGUGUGAUGCCAUUCUCGUUCACUAGGAAUUGCAAAAGCGUUAAUUCCAAUUAUAUUACACAGACGUAUAGCAUUGCAAAGGCAAAAUUCUGUACGCUCCAGUCGAGGAUUAAUCCAGUAUUGAAAAGACUAAAUGUGAGUUAACUGCUGUAUUCGUUGGAGAAAUAAAGACACCACAAGGAUCAGUGUUGGUUCCUGAUUUACAAGUUCAACCAACCAAAUGCAAAUAUUUACUUUAUGGAAAGAGUUAAAGGUUUAUAGCGGUGUAACAGUUGUGAUUAAUGGCGCUAUCUAGAUACUUUGUGCUGGUUUAAAAUACUGAAAAUGCAACUUUUGUUCCCACAGUGUCAAACGUUACCAUAUCAGGGUGCUUCGAAAGUUUGGAAAAACAACCUUGUAACAAAACCGUUUAUAGGAAUCCGUAGACGUAGUUAACUCUUCUUAAGCUUAUGGAAGCUUUUGAAAAUAUAUUGGAUGAUCGGCUGAGAUGAAAACAAUCAUUCAUAUGUAUGACUAUGUGCAAACGAGUGUGGUUCAAUUGCGGUGUUGUUUGUACACCUGAAAAAAAGAAAUUUGUCAACGCAAACCUGAUAUCAGACAAACUAAAAUUAAGAUUCUGCAAAAAAUCUACGAAAAUAAUUGUUAUGGUCCGCAGGGUAGUACAGGGACGUUGUCGGAAUGUUGGUAAAGGUAGAUAAUUAACAUUAUAAACAGAUUGAAACUUGUUCUUCCUAGACAUUUCUUAGUAAUAUAUCGUUUAACAUGCUACCAUCUUAUUGACCUCUUUUCUUAAAUAAUAAUAUACAAUAAAGUUUGAGAGAUGUUAGAAUUUUCAAGAGCUGCUCAAGCUUUAAGAUAUCUUGUAAACCAAAAUGUUGGUAGCAAUUUUGUUAAAAGUCGUUGCCAUCUUCAAAGAUGUAUCAACAACUUUCAACCAAAAUUUAUAACGUUUCAAAAUUAAAAUCUUGUGUCCGUUCAUUCUUCAUUCGUCUCGCACCCCUGAUAUUCUGACGCCUCUCCAACUAUAUAUACUUUUUUACAAGACGAAGUACAAUCCGAAAGACAUGAUUAUUUUGAAAUUUCACAAGUUUUUUCCGAGGUGUUGUAAUAAUCGAUAUGUUGAACGCUUUGAAGAUCAAAAUCUAUUGUUUCUUUAAUAUUGUUAAUGUCAGAAGUUAAUCUAAAUAUUAUGAAGAUGGAAUUCAAAAAGGACAAAACUGAUAGAACGUUUUAUUAUAUUGUUUGCAGCCCUAAUGCAAGUUUUAGACGUGUACACAUAUAUAUUUGAAAUUGUUAAAAUAUAUUUGUUAAAAAUUCAAAGAUUCUGUUAUUUCUAGUGUUGAUAAAUUUCAGUAAGCGUGGAUGGACGAGCUAUAUGUAAAGUGCUGGGGCC
rnacentral:lncRNA from 1 species